UUUGCCUUGUAGUAGUUUCAUUUUACAAAUAAAUUCAAACAUUAUGACAACUAAAAACAGAAAAUUUUGUGAUGAACAUCGUUUUUUUAAUAAUUCCUGGGUUGAUAUUUUAUACUUAAAAUAAUCAAAUACAAUUAUAAGUAUUAUAUCAUAAUAUGUAAUUUUUUUUUAAUGUGGCCCUUGAUGAACAAUUGAAAAAAUUAUGGCCCGCGUGGUUAAAAAGGUUGCCGACCCCUGCUCUACACUGUAGAGUAUACAGUCUACGCAAGGUGGAUACAUAUCCACCUUGAGUCUACAAUACUGACCGCUGGGUAGAGGAGUGAAGAUGGAGACGAUAGAAUAUCGAUGGCUCCCGUUGACGAUGAGCGCAGCACAUGUCCGAGCAUAGAAACCCCGACAACCGUUACAGUUAUCGAAAAGAAGUAAAGACCAGAAAGUUCUCAGAUGCAACACACGAUUUCGUAAAAUAAUUAAACUAAAUUCAGCGAACGUCGUGCUUAUUCUUCAUUGCAAACGAACUUUAGGUGCUAGCGGUUGGCAAUUGGAAAUUGACGGACCACAGAGGGCAGAAAGCUGGACCAUCAAAAUAUCUCAAUAAGAUUGUAAAUUACUUGCUGACCCCUGUGCUACAACUAGCCUUAGAGGCUAAAAUGCUCAUUGCGUGAUCACGGAUCGACUACGCUACUACGGUUCAUAUCAAUAUUGUUUAAUUCUCCAACGGUUUUACGCGAACGCGCGUCAUUACUCAUUUAUAUAUCCUCGGAGAACUUCCUAUACACAAUAUAGCAUUCAGAUGACAGACUAGAGCACAGACUUCAAACGACUCAAUUGAGGGAAUUAUUCAGGAUUUAGCUGAGAGUGCUGGAGAAACCAAUACCUAUAUAGCUAUCUCAGAAAAAUAUAUUGGACGAAAAAUUAGUAAGAUAUUUAUUAAAUUGUAGAAUAUAUUAUAGAUACUGUUAUUCCAAUUUCGAUUUGUGUCUUAAAAUUAUUUUAAUGUAAAAUUGAACAUGAAUCGCCGCGGUAAUAGAGGGAUUAUCUCUCCCAUCCCCUUAAGUAUGUCGAGUAUCAGCGCAUCUUUUUUUG